rnacentral:lncRNA from 1 species
GCAAGUGUUUUCGAUAGUUAUAAAACAUUCUUACAAUUUUUUUCGAAAUAGGCACAUGCUUUUGGUAAAAUAAAGACUUUUUAUUUAUGAGAUACUAAUGUCAUCCGCAUUUCCUACUUUUAUAGUGGUGAAAUUCUUUUAUUUAGAUCCUAACCUUGUAGGUAGAACACAGGCAAUAUGUGUGAGCGUCCCCACUAUAUCUGUAAAAUUUUGUUUCUAAUUAAUAAACCUAUGCUUUUGGCUAAUAAUCAAAAGCUAACUGUUUUCCUACCAACUACCCAUCCUUAUGCUCGCUCCUUCUCUUGUUUGGAGUUUUAGGUUGGGGAGGAAGCAAACCAUGUCAUUUACAAAGAUCAAGUAAAAAUAUGCAAGUACUUACUUGUAAUUCUUUCGCAGAAAGAUCGAGCUCUCUGCGCAUAAGGACUUGACGGAUUACAAAGAAUGUUCCGACCCCAAGCAACGCAAGUAGUAAAAGCAGGUAUGAAAGCUGGAUUCCCAAUUCAAAUAACUCCCCUACCUCGUAGACAACGUUUGUUCUUACAUCUUCACUUGCUUGUACCAUUUGUGCCGGUAUCAACCAUGAACAACAUGAGAAAGAAGAUACAAAAGUAAAAGGCCUUUUAACCCUUGUUCUAUCUUCAUCAACUGAAAGCUUCCUUGAGAAUUCUGGGACAGAAUGGGGAUAUCAGCUUCAAAAUCUAUUAACAGUAUGCUUAACCAAUACUAUAUACAAAUGAUACCUGUAAAUAUGACCGAAGCCUAAAUCUAAACAUUGACAAUUUAAAGAAGUCAAGUAAUUACGUCCAACAAGCCACAUAGAACAAAAUUCCAUCUGAAAAAUUCAUGGUUUCAACUCCACCAAUAUAACUUAAAACAUACCUAAAACUUGUAUUCUAUAUCUAUCCGAUUAUUGCUUUGGAGAGAAGAACUACUCUAUUUUUCCACCCCUUUUUAUGAAUCACCAUUUUCCAUUUUCACAAAAAUAAAUAAAUUACUUUUAGAUUUUAUUAACAUAAUGCUAAUUAUUUAGAGGUUUCAUAAGAAUGCACGAGUAUUGCUUUUCAUCAUUAGACCUUCUGAUAGAAUCAACCAAAAUGGUGAGACCUAAUUCAGGAUUAUAAGCAUGCUUGGUUGUGCAUAAACUUUUAUGAUAUGAAUUUUGCCAAACAUGAUUUUCAAAAGUUAACUCUUUUCACAAACAAAGCUUACUUUUCUAAAGAGUAAGUCUUAACUUGCUUUCUAAAAAAGUUACUUUAAAGCACAGACAUUCAUGCUUUCAAUAGGUGUAGAUAUAACCACACACUAAAAGAAGCUAAGAUUUGUUUGAGGGUACAUAACAAACCUCAACAAGAAUAUAAAUCAGAGAAAAGUAGCCACUGAAAAGAAGAAAUUGUUUGACCUUCAAGUUUGUCCGAGGUCAAGGAAGAUGACAUUUCCAUUUCCUUUUCGAAUGUCUGUGUCCAUUGACAACCAAACAUUAAGCUAGUCAGAGCAUAUUGAAAAGCACAAGAAAGUUUUAGUUCGUUCUAACAAAAGGUAUAGAACAAUAGUAGCAUUGAAAUUUAUGGACCCUAGGUGUAUGAAUAUAAAACAAUGUCUUAUGAUGUCCCUUGUACUUGAAUUGAAUCAUAAAGGCACUUUAAGAAAGAACUCAGUUAUACCAAGAAAAUUGCUUUGCCAUUCAAACGGUAUCCUUAAUAUUUGAUUAAAGUAUUAAUCAGCAACACCAAAUUUUCGUGCUUUUCAUAGCAUUACCAUUGGCAACAUGCCAUAUGAAAACACUGUCACUGCAAUGUGAAACAAGAAAAUAAGUGAACGAUUUCACACUUCACAUCAUCCAUGAUAUAACCGACCAUUUUUUGGAUGAUUGCAAAACAAAAUAACAGACUACAUGAAUUAGUAAUUCAAUUCUUUUGUACCAACCAAAUUAUCAACAAGCAAAAAAUGGUCGCGCUCAAAAGAAACAAUUGGUAUGUUUCACCAACGAAAUUGCAACUUGACCAUUCACAUUUAUCCCCAUUUGUAACUAAUAUGAUAGUUAAGCUUCUUCUUUUUCUUUUUUUCUUUCUUUUUUUGUUUUAACUCAAUUGUGCACUCUUCCUUAUCACCAAACUACAGAUAACUCAAAUUGACCUCUUUUCUAGUUCAUAUAUACAGUUCAUCACUCCAAAUCUUAAAAUCGCAAAAAACCAAACAUAGUUAGAUAUUGCGCGAUGUAUAAGAAAAUUAGUAACAAAUCGCAUACGCAGGUUUUAAAUCAAAAUCCCAUACCAAAAACAACAAAGCUCAAAAUUUCAAAAGAUGGAAAGAUUGCAACUUUGCAAGGUAUACCCAUACCUGCAGAGAGAGUUUAAGCGGCCUGAAUUUGCGCUUUGUGGGUUUUCUUGAAAAGUAACAUAGAGCUGUCCCAUUACUAUGAAAAACUGAAAAUUCACCAGAAAUUGGAUGAAACCUGUUUCUCGGUUUUAGAUUUGGGAUAAAAAUAGUGGUGCUGUAAGAAUGUUGCGAAGGAGGUGAAAAGGUACACUGGAUUAGCAUUCUCUUUCUCUACCUGUAAUUUGUUAGCUGUGUGUGUUUGUGUGUAUAAAGAUUGAAUUUUGGAAGCAAAGAAAAUCUUGGAUCAUUUGGAAGAAUUUAUUUUUGAACUGUUGAGUUGAGAAGAUAAGUUUUAUCAGUUUAUCUCAGAGGUUCAGCCAAUUCUGUCGUGGUAAGCUUAUAACCGGGGCUCAACUGGACCGGUUAUUGAACCGGGAAUAAUUUUGUGAGUUUAGUGUGAGAAAAUAGCACUACUAGUCCCCAAACUAUUCUUAACCUUAAAAAAAUCAACAAUUGUGCUGCUUGCAUAGGAACAGACCUUGUACAGGCACACACACAUGAUGUCCACAAGUGGGGUCCACCCCCAUGUGAGAUGCUCUGUACAAGGUCUGUUGCAGGAGGCAUUUUACAAAAAUCAAACUUGUUUCGUGCGGGUUAGUCGUUAACAAUUAAAAAGGAUCAGACGAUUGUGUAAGGGACAAAAUCUCUUGAGACAAAAUCCCAAAAAGGGGUGUUCUUUUAUUGGCGAUGAAUUUUACAAUUGGAAAUGAAAAACAACGUGCCUCCAAGAGGCGCAAGCACACGAGUUACUGAAAGAAAAGUGUUUAAAUCUAAAAACUAAGGAAAUGAAAAUUACAUGUUCUCUGUUCGAGAGUUUUGGAUUCGGUCCUUUGCUUCUAUGUCCUUUCUUCCUUUUAUACUUCAUGGACGAUCUCUUUGUGAUCAACCGCCCUAAAAACUGCUUGAUCGUCCUAUAACUGCCCACUUUCUUCGUAAUGGCCGACUUGUCAUGAAAACUGCCUUUUUUAAUUGCUGUCAUUACUCUUCAUCGUUCAACCGCUUUCGAUUGAAUUCCUUACAUCGUGGAACGUGAUAGGGCUGCUUUAAUAACUGCUUUGAUAAUUGUACUUCUUGAUAACCACGACGCUUUAUGCUUGUUAAGAUCUUGGACGACUUGAAGGUUUGGGCGAGAAUAGAGUAACAGCUCUGGGCGACUGUAUGACACUCCAUUCGCUCAGAUUUUGGACGACUUGCAAACUUGGGCGAUGGCAUUACGACGUUCUUGGGCUUCCUUAUUUGGGCCUUCAUCUUGAUUUGUUUGAUUGGGCUUCGUUCUUUGGGCUAUCUGAUUUGGGGAUCCUCCAAUUGGGCUUCACUCCUUGGGCUGUUCGAUUUGGGCUGAAUUUUUAUGUGUCAACAAAACUGCUUGUUAUUAUUUUCCUUAUACACGUAAAAUCAAUCUUCUACCACGGAACCUUUUCAAAUAUUUGCUAAAUAGUCAUGUGAUCCUCAUUAUGCUUUAAAAUUUGUGACGGACUAAAAAUUUGGAGUGAGGUAUAUUUUUAUAAGGAUGACAUAACGAUUUAGUUCAUGUCUAAAAAGUUAUUAAAUUUAAAUUCAAUUACUAUAUGUUGUGAAUCUUAUGGAAUUUGUUGAUAAUAAGUGGACAAUGAUUAUGGGUCAAAGAAAUGGAUAAAUAAAAAGUAUGUUUAAUAAAAAAUGAUUACAAAAAUUCACUACCCAAACACGCUCCUCCUAGAGAUUUCGGUGUCUUCUAUAGUUGCAACCAAUUAUGGAACUAUUAUUAACAUUUAGGAUCAAUUUGUUAUUUUUUAAAGUUCGGAGAUCAAAUUUCAAUUGAGAAAUACCUUGAGGACUAAUUCUUCAACCUUGCCUAUUACUUCUGAUUCUGAAGGGGGGUUUUUUAUUAUAUUUUUUGUGGUUGCCAGUGGUCCCGUAUUUAUGUGGAGGUAGAAGCGAAGGCUAGUGAAUUUAUUAAAAAAAAAAAAACGUUACUUUGGGUGUAUUUUAUUUUAAAGUGAAAAAGAAUUGAAAGAUUGAAAUUUUAAUUAAAAACCAUUAAGUUAUAUUAAUUAAAAAUUCAUUAAUUUAUCUUUUAAUUUGCAUGAUUUAUGUAAAUUUUAAUUUUGAGGACAAAUUUCAAACAUUUAAUCACAAUUUACAAUUUAAUAAAGUUAGCAGAUGAGUGUUUUGAGAAUUCAUCCUAAACUUAUUGUAUAUGGCUUGUUGUUCCCAUUAAUUUCUGUCGACUCUUCAAAUCGGCAUAAAUCUUCCAACAAUCUUUUGAGAUAUCAAUUUACAAUGACAACACGAGUUAAAAUACAGCUUGGAUUAAGUAACGAGAGUAAUGUUAUUCUGCACCACGGUGUUAAAUAUCAGUUAAUGUGGUAAUUGCAUAAUAAUAAAUGAAAAAUUCACUUCAAUACAAUGUCACGUUGUUCAUUAAAUUGAUAUCAUCAAUUGUGAUAACCUGAACUAGUGAUAUACUAUCAUUGGUGUUAAAUAAUAUUAUUCAUGUAACAAAGGUUUCGUAACUCUUAUUUUGUAUUUCACAUUCAUGAGCCUUUUAACUAACAUGACUUUAUUUUUAAUUAUAUAUUCACAUAGAGCUUCCAUCUUUUACCAUAUAGUAUUAACAUUUUUCAAAAAAAUAAAAAUAAAAAAUGCCAUAUUUCUUAUUAUUUAAUUCAACGCACCAAAUAUGUCAUGGGAUAAUAUCUAAACCUGACUAUGCAUUCCAGGUUUUUACCCUGGUAUUCUAUAUAAAACAAGAAAAGAUGUAAAACUUGUCCAUAAUACACAAACAAGGAAAAAAUCUUACGCAACUCGAAAAAAUUAAAGAGGAAAUUCCUACAAUGGAACUGAUAAAAGUAUUCAUUAUGCAAACGGAUAUCGACCGAAAAUCUACUUUAGAAUUACCAUGAUAAGAUCAAUACUAACACAAAAUAAAGUGUUCUGGCAAGUUUCCUGAGAAACUUAAAGGUAAAUAGAACUUUGAAAUACAUGGGUCUCUUGAUAGAAAGGAGCAAUAAAACUUCAAACAAAUUCAUUAUCUUUUUUCUUUUAGAGGCUUAGGCCUAUAUAUGGGUCAUCUUAACUUUGUUAAUUGGUUAGAUUGCGAUUAAUUGUAGGGCUCAGACGCUACAUUUAGAGGGGAAAAGGGUUUCAGGGAGAUGCGUCUUUUGGAAAGCAUAUUCCUGUUCAUAAGGAUUGUGAUCCUGGAGAGACAAUCUAAAAAUAAUGUCUGUACUGAGACAAACUAUAAAGUAAAUGUAAUUAAGACAGAAAUGAUUAAAGAACUUAUAUAACCAUCCCGUCAAAGAAUUACAAAGAGACUUCACAAAUAACUCUAAAUGAAAUAUUUUACACUAAUUAUGCAAUCAAACUAGUCAGAAAAAGACUGAAAAAAUAUAACAAUAUCAUGGAAAAUGUGGAAAUAGUUUCACAUCCUUAACAUUUACAAGUAGUAGACAUAAGGUGAAAUAGGCAAGUGUUUUCGAUAGUUAUAAAACAUUCUUACAAUUUUUUUCGAAAUAGGCACAUGCUUUUGGUAAAAUAAAGACUUUUUAUUUAUGAGAUACUAAUGUCAUCCGCAUUUCCUACUUUUAUAGUGGUGAAAUUCUUUUAUUUAGAUCCUAACCUUGUAGGUAGAACACAGGCAAUAUGUGUGAGCGUCCCCACUAUAUCUGUAAAAUUUUGUUUCUAAUUAAUAAACCUAUGCUUUUGGCUAAUAAUCAAAAGCUAACUGUUUUCCUACCAACUACCCAUCCUUAUGCUCGCUCCUUCUCUUGUUUGGAGUUUUAGGUUGGGGAGGAAGCAAACCAUGUCAUUUACAAAGAUCAAGUAAAAAUAUGCAAGUACUUACUUGUAAUUCUUUCGCAGAAAGAUCGAGCUCUCUGCGCAUAAGGACUUGACGGAUUACAAAGAAUGUUCCGACCCCAAGCAACGCAAGUAGUAAAAGCAGGUAUGAAAGCUGGAUUCCCAAUUCAAAUAACUCCCCUACCUCGUAGACAACGUUUGUUCUUACAUCUUCACUUGCUUGUACCAUUUGUGCCGGUAUCAACCAUGAACAACAUGAGAAAGAAGAUACAAAAGUAAAAGGCCUUUUAA